AUUGAACGCUGGCGGCAUGCCUUACACAUGCAAGUCGAACGGCAGCACGGACUUCGGUCUGGUGGCGAGUGGCGAACGGGUGAGUAAUGUAUCGGAACGUACCUUUCAGUGGGGGGAUAACGUAGCGAAAGUUACGCUAAUACCGCAUAUUCUGUGAGCAGGAAAGCAGGGGAUCGCAAGACCUUGCGCUGAUUGAGCGGCCGAUAUCAGAUUAGCUAGUUGGUGGGGUAAAGGCCUACCAAGGCUACGAUCUGUAGCGGGUCUGAGAGGAUGAUCCGCCACACUGGAACUGAGACACGGUCCAGACUCCUACGGGAGGCAGCAGUGGGGAAUUUUGGACAAUGGGGGCAACCCUGAUCCAGCCAUGCCGCGUGAGUGAAGAAGGCCU
rnacentral:rRNA from 1 species